CUUGUCUGGCCCGCCGGGUCUGGCCCGUGCGUGUGCUGAUAAGUGCGCGCCAUCCUUCUAAUUUGCUUGUUGUGUGUAUAUAUAUUUCCAUGUAUGUAUUUCAACAAGUGGGUUAGAUCUUUGACUUUGAACAAAUUAGAGUGUUUCAGGCAGGCAUAUUUUGCUAUGAAUACAUGAGCAUGGAAUCAUCAGUUUCUAAGCUUCGGCUUGAUUCUGGUUGGUUGUGCAAGCUGAAGUGCAAUGAUGGAUAGGGACAGUUGGGGGUGCUAGUAUUCAGCGGCCAGAGGUGAAAUUCUCGGAUUCGCUGAAGACUAACUACAGCGAAAGCAUU
rnacentral:rRNA from 1 species